UUUGCUAAUAAGACAAAAAUAGAAAGUCAUUUUCAUGAAGGAAACAUGAAAACACUGGGGAAAUAAGUGAUGCGAACAUUAUGCGUACACAGCAUCUCAUCUGGGUUUCCUGAUGAGGGAAUUUUAAAUUUUUAAAAGAAGCAAAUUUCACCUGGGCUGGAAUCAGGGUGAAGUCACCUCUUUCCUAUGUCAGUAUGUACUCAGACAGAGCAAGAAACGAUAUCUCCAAAUCUGAGCUCAAGUUCAGAAGGCUUCCG
rnacentral:lncRNA from 1 species